GCAAGCGUGGCGGAAUUGGCAGACGCGCCUGAUUUUUUAUCGGUGGCAGAGGUUUGAGAGUCCGGAUGCUAAAGGCCUCGUAAGACCGUGGGGGUUCGACUCCCUCCGCUUGCA
rnacentral:tRNA from 1 species